UACGUAGGGGGCGAGCGUUGCUCGGAUUGACUGGGCGUAAAGCGCGCGUAGGCGGUCCAUUAAGUGUGCGGUGAAAUUCAGAGGCUCAACCUCUGUCCCGCCGCGCAAACUGGUGGUCUUGAGAUUGGGAGGGGGAUGCGGAAUUCCUGGUGUAGCGGUGAAAUGCAUUGAUAUCAGGAGGAACACCGGCGGCGAAAGCGGCAUCCUGGCUUAUAUCUGACGCUGAGGCGCGAAAGCGUGGGUAGCAAACGGGAUUAGAUACCCCGGUAGUCCACGCCGUAAACGAUGGAUACUAGGUGUGGGAGGUCUCGACCCCUCCCGUGCCGUAGCAAACGCGUUAAGUAUCCCGCCUGGGGAGUACGGCCGCAAGGUUGAA
rnacentral:rRNA from 1 species